AUUUGUAUUAAUUGUUCAUCGAUUAAUUAAAACGUUAAUUGACGUAAAUGUAUCGUGUUUUAGCAAGCACAUUAAAUCCAAACGUCAAAAUAAGGGGGCCAAGAAUGUAAAAGUGAUGCAUUCAGGGAACAGUUGGCUCAUCUCGUCUCAUCUAACGCUUGCUUAAUCGAAAUGGACUUUAAGCGACCUCCCGAAACCAAACAUCACUUGAGCAAAUACAACUCAAAAGUGUUAUAUGUAAGCUCAUAUUUUCUACAACAGUCCCGGCGAGGGAGGACAAAGGCGACGACAGCUUGACAAGUUGACAACCGAAACUGAGGACGGCAAAAGCACCUGCGGCCCCUUCACGAGAGGGACAAGCGGAUGAAGAGUAAUGGAGCGCGUCGCUGGCCAAUCAGAGGCAGCAGGAGGAGGGCUUUGGGGAAGAUGACGUCCUACAAUUGGUCAAUGAGCGGCACAGCGAAACGUGGACUUUCUCCUCUCUGCUGGACAUGAUAGGGGAGGUCUCCAUCUGCGACUGGGACUGAACAGUGAUCUGCUUCCGGCCUUCAUAGUGCAUACUCUGCCACAGUGUAGGUUACCUGCACUAGUGUAGAUGCUGAAAGGAAGUUCGGUAAAAAACUUGCAUGAUGACUCCCAUGUGAUCUUCAUUACAUGUCUGACCAGAAAAUUUGAAAUUGUGUGCAGACUUCAUCUUGUGUGGGACCGCUACUUGUCUGAAUCUCUGAAAGCUGCUACAAGAGGAAAGCGUGGGACAGGGGUUCAGAGACGUGUGUGAGGUGCUGCAGCCAUUCCCAUUAAAUGGCAAAACUUUCUUGGAGUGGACAGCAAUAAGACUGAGUUGUUUGCCUUGCUCUCAGACGCUCUGUUCAGAUCACUUGUGCAGGAGCACAAACAGCUCGUUAUCAAUAAUGAUAUGGAGGUCGAUAGCAAGCCACGACUCCAAGAUGUAUGAGGACACUGAUGUUCUUAAAUGUUUUCCAUGCAGCAAGAAAUUGCCAUCAUAGAAACAUUAUUCAGACAGUUGAUACAGAUGUUGUCCUGCUCGCUGUGGCUCAGACUCGACAGCCAGAAGAUGAGCUUUUGUUGGCUUUUAGAACUGUGAUACUAAGCAGCACAUGAAAUUGCAGCAGGACUAGGGCCUAAGAAAGCACUUUAUUUAUUUGGUGUGAACUGUGUUCUACACUGUCUGUCAAAGCACUUCGUGAACGUGUUUUUAAAGGUGCAAUAUAAAAAGUUAUUAUUAUUAUUAUUAUAACUAGAAAAAGUUCAGCUAAGAGUACACAGCCCUCUGCUUCAAGGUCCAAUAUUAAUAUUAUAACUCUUAUAUGAUAUGAGGAUUGAGUGCAUUCUCACCACAUGCAUGGAAUAUGCUGAAUUUAUACUUUAUGAGUUAAGGUACUUUGGUAAGUAUCCAUCCAUCCAUUUUCUGAGCCGCUUCUCCUCACUAGGGUCGCGGGCGUGCUGGAGCCUAUGCCAGCUAUCUUCGGGCAGGAGGCCGGGUACACUCUGAACUGGUUGCCAGCCAAUCGCAGGGCACAUACAAACAAACAAUCAUUCGCACUCACAUUCACACCUACAGGCAAUUUAGAGUUGUCAAUUAACCUACCAUGCAUGUUUUUGGGAUGUGGGAGGAAACCGGAGUGCCCGGAGAAAACCCACGCAGGCACGGGGAGAACAUGCGAACUCCACAAAGGCGGGGCCAGGGAUUGAACCCCGGUCAUAGGAACUGUGAGGUAGACGCUCUAACCAGUCGGCCACACUUUGCUGCUCCGCCUGGUCCCACACCUCAGUGGCAUACAGGAAGUUGGAGGUGACCUGCACAUAGCUGGCAGCCAUCUGGUGGAUGCGCUGAGGUAUGGUCACAGAUGAGCCAGUGCUGCUGCUGCUGCUGCUGACCGACGAGUAACCGCCUGCCGUGCCCGGAGACAGCUUGGGGGACACUGGCGAAGGCAUUCCCGCUGCCUUGCUACAUAUGGGGAAGAAGAAUAAACAAUGUUUAGCAUUUUCUGCCGACACGCUGCUUACACAGAGGAAAAGCGGACGUGGCUGAGGACAGGGGAAGGGUGCGUCAAGUAGGACGCAAAAGCCACGCCCCCAGACCCCCGAAAAUGUCACCUACGAAGAGACAUGCUUGCGAAGCACAGUUUAAAGUGCAAGCUAUCAGUUACGCGGAGGAACAUGGGAAUCGAGCAGCCGCGAGAGAAUCCAAGAUCAACGAAGCCAUGGUUCGCAAGUGGAGGAAGCAGGAAAACGAGCUUUGCCAAGUCAAGAAGACGAAGCUGAGUUUCUACAGAAAAAAAAGAAAAACAUAACGCGGAAACAAGGCGAGGUGGCCCGAGUUGGAUGAUCAACUUGAGCAAUGGAUUAGUGAGCAAAGAACAGCCGGGAGAAGCGUCUCUACAGUCACCAUUCGACUGAGUGCAAUAACUCGGGGCUUUCCACCAUUCCGGGAGGCUUGACGGACCGCUGGACAUUCGUGUAAACAGGGCGUUCAAAGUGAAGUGAGCGCCGUUGGAGCCAUGGAUGACAGAUGGCGAACACAGCUUUACUAAGACUAGGAGGCAGCGCCGGGCGAGUUGCGCCACAAUUUGUGAAUGGAUUGUGGAUGCUCGGGCUGACGUGUCUGCUUGCACUGUUGUUCGAGCUUUCACACGGCAACGAGACUGACUCGACCCUGGCGUGUUUGAUUGAGAACUUGGCCAGCUGUUCAUUUCGGAUACCGAAGAUGAGGACUUUGAUGGAUUUGUGGAUGAGGAUUGAUCAAAAAAAUAACAUGAGUACAUAGUUAAAUACUUCAAUAAAGUACAACCGAACUCAGUUUUGCUCCCGCUGCCUUUUUAAAAACAUUGUUUUAGCGUGCAUGCAUGCUAUCAUAUGUUUCAAGCUAGCGUAUGUUUUACCAUCCCUGCGCCCAAUAAUACGGUGUGCCUUAUGUAUGUGUUAAAUGCAGAAAUAGACCCCGUAACUGAGACUGCGCCUUUUAAUGCGGUGCGCCCUAUGGUCGUGAAAAUGCGGUAUAUAUAGAUAAUUGCUGUAUUGCGAGAGUAUUGUUGUCAAAAUA